UGGUGGAGCGAUUUGUCUGGUUAAUUCCGGUAACGAACGAGACUCUGGCCUAUUAAAUAGUUCGCCGAUUCCGAUCUGCCGGCGUUAACUUCUUAGAGGGACAAGUGGCUUUUAGCCACGCGAGAUUGAGCAAUAACA
rnacentral:rRNA from 1 species